rnacentral:rRNA from 1 species
GUGCUGCAUGGCUGUCGUCAGCUCGUGCCGUGAGGUGUUGGGUUAAGUCCCGCAACGAGCGCAACCCUCGCCUUUAGUUGCCAGCAUUCAGUUGGGCACUCUAAAGGGACUGCCGGUGAUAAGCCGAGAGGAAGGUGGGGAUGACGUCAAGUCCUCAUGGCCCUUACGGGCUGGGCUACACACGUGCUACAAUGGCAGUGACAAUGGGUGAAUCCCUAAAAGCUGUCUCAGUUCGGAUUGUCCUCUGCAACUCGAGGGCAUGAAGUUGGAAUCGCUAGUAAUCGUGGAACAGCAUGCCACGGUGAAUACGUUCCCAGGCCUUGUACACACCGCCCGUCACACCAUGGAAGCUGGUCACACCCAAAGUCGUUAUUCUAACCGUUUGGAGGAAGGCGCCUAAGGUAGGAUUGGUGACUGGGGUGAAGUCGUAACAAGGUAGCCGUACCGGAAG